UAUGGAAGAAGGUUGCCUGGUGAAUCACAUUUUUUUUCUCGAUCAGAUGGAUGGCUGGGUGCAUGUGUGUUGUGACGGAUCCAAGGGGCUGUAGUAUUUUAUUUUGUCCAGCAGGUGUCUCCGGGUAACACUUUUUGUGUCUUCAGGUUAAGUGCUGUGACGCAGGUGUGGAAAAUUGAUGGUGAUUAACCAUGCUGCUUAUAAGGUGCUGGCUUUCUCACCCUCGGGGAGGGAAAGGAGAUUGGGGCUUGGUCUCUGCUGGUCUCGCGGUUUGCUGGUCAUGCGGACUUUCUCACGCUCUCCAGUCCAAGGCUUGAUGUUGUGUUUUUGUAUCUUUUUUUUUUACUUUAAUGUAGUUAUGUCUGUUUUUGAUUAAAAUACAUAUUUGUGCAAAUUUGGUUACGUUGUAUGGACUCUCCAUUUAUGUUGCUGCUCCUUGAGCCAAGGGGUUGUAACAGUGUCAUUUAGUUGGGGAAGAGGUGACAGCAGAAUGCACUAUGGCAGGGAUCUGCAACCUUCCAGACUUCAAUUCCAAACCUGCUCCAAUACACCUGUUGUCUGUAAAUAUCAAGUAAACCUGAACACCUUGAUUAGCUGGUUCAGGUCUGGUUGAUAGGGGUUGAAUCUGAAAUCUGCAGGAUGGUAGCUCUUCAGGUGGAGGGUUGGAGACCCUUGUACAAUGGGAAGAAGGCAGGCGGGUGGAGGCAGUGUUAUGUUCUGGUCAGUAUUCUGCAGGAAACCUUGGAUCCUGGACUUCAAGUGGAUGUUACUUUGACACGUACUACCCUGCAUGAGGGUUGGAGCUAAAUUCUGCAGGACAGUGGCCCUCCAGGAAGAAAUUUGGACACCCCUGCCGUAGAUUCUCAGUCAAUGGGUAUACAAACCUGUUGCUGGAAGGCCAUUGUCCUUGAACUAGCUAAACUUCCAGGCAAUUGUGUUGGGGCUGGGUGGAGCUAAACUCUGCAGGACGUUGGCCCUCCAGGAGCAGGAUUGGACACCCCUAGACCUGGAUCAGAUUUGUUUAGCUCCACCCAGCCCCAACACAAUUGGCUGGACGUUUCUUGUGAUUU
ensembl:lncRNA